ensembl:lncRNA
CAGCUCUGUGUUGCGAGGGCUCCUCGCCCUCGGUGCUCCUGCCUGGCACCUGAAGCUGCCAGCGAUCUCCUGCCAAAGCCAGUCUGGGCCAGACCCCUCUGGAGCCAGCUGGGGCCUCCACCCUCAGUUCCACCAACAGAGCUGCCUUUGUGCCCUCAGCCAGCCCAGGGCUGCGGGUGGAGGCCCCAGGCAGCUUGCCAAGUUGCGGGAAACCCAAACCUCAGGUUCUGGGAGAUGCAGAGAUGAAAGAUCCUGUGGCUGCCGGAGGAAGAGAAGAACUGAGUGCUCAUGAGCCAGAGCAUGCUCCACACGCUCCUGGCCCUCGGGCCCCUCACCCUCAGUCCCUGCCCUCAUCCCUUCAUGCAAGGCUGAAUUCAACCUUGGGAAGAAUUCUUCCUUGAGGUAUUUGCAACAGGUCAUGUUGGUGACAGCAACAGGAGAGUGGGGAAGACCUGCUGUUCCUUCUGCCACCCUCCACACCAGCUGGCCACACAAGGCUGGCAAAGCUCUGCACGGCUGUUCAGUACUCUACCACCUGGUGUCACCUGAAGGAUGGGCAGGCACCCAUAAACAUCACACUUCCCAGCCAAUCUCAUGGUGAUCUGGGAAUUGUGGCAGCUCAAGCUGAUGCAGAAGCUGUUGCCUUUGGCAUGGUGUGGUCCCUCACCUGGACAAUUGGCCUACCUGGAGUCCCUGCAGAAAGGAAGUCACCUGGCGUGUGGUAAAGUGAAGAUGCCUGCUCUCCAGAUUGAGAGCACUCAGAGCUCAGGAGAGACCCAUUCAUUGCUGCUCUUGGGCCACAAACCUCUCUGUGACAGCAGAGCGUGACAGUGGCACCUGAAGUGCCUCCACUUAAUCCCCAGGUAUACCUCACUCCUUACAGGUGGAAGGGCCUGUCUGGGUCUGGGGAUGUCAGUUGGGGUGGCAGCCCUGACUAGCAGAUGCUCUCUCCCACCAGUGAAGAAGAGCAUCUCCUUGACUCCUGGCCAGGUAUGAGUCACUAUAGACAGUACUGAUCUACACACGCCCAGGGGACACCAGCAACUACCUCGCACACUGACAGCAGGUGCCCACAAUUGUCCUAAAAGGAAAACCUGAGGAUGAGAUUCCAGCUUCUUGAGGGCCCCUUGAGUCCUCAGAGAGGGCAUGGGUCUGCCCCACUGCUAGACAUGCCUUCCACCAGUCCCUUUCUGUUUCCAAGAGCAAAGGACACAUGCAAAUGGGCUUAGAAAACAGCAAACUCCUGUCUCGCUGGGGGAAUCAGCAGUGCUGGCCACCCAGCUGUCCCUCUUCUGUCCUCAGCUUCCUGUCCUCAGCCUCCUGUCUCCCCAGCAUUGUGUCUCCUCCUUCUUCUGCCACAGCUUGUUCCUGGCCCCUGCACAUCUGUGGCACAUGGACUUUCCAAGCUUCUCACUCACAUCCAUGUCUUGGCUGCCCGGGUCUUUCCGAAGGCCAUGUCUCUGGUUCUUGGACCACUCUGUCCUCCAGCUUUGACCCACUGACUGCUCC